AUUGAACGCUGGCGGAAUGCUUUACACAUGCAAGUCGAACGGCAGCACGGACUCCGGUCUGGUGGCGAGUGGCGAACGGGUGAGUAAUACAUCGGAACGUGCCCAGUCGUGGGGGAUAACGUAGCGAAAGCUACGCUAAUACCGCAUACGAUCUAAGGAUGAAAGCGGGGGAUCGCAAGACCUCGCGCGAUUGGAGCGGCCGAUGGCAGAUUAGGUAGUUGGUAGGGUAAAGGCCUACCAAGCCGACGAUCUGUAGCUGGUCUGAGAGGAUGAUCAGCCACACUGGGACUGAGACACGGCCCAGACUCCUACGGGAGGCAGCAGUGGGGAAUUUUGGACAAUGGGCGAAAGCCUGAUCCAGCCAUUCCGCGUGCAGGAUGAAGGCCUUCGGGUUGUAAACUGCUUUUGUACAGAACGAAAAGGCUCUGGUUAAUACCCGGGGCUCAUGACGGUACUGUAAGAAUAAGCACCGGCUAACUACGUGCCAGCAGCCGCCGUAA
rnacentral:rRNA from 1 species